rnacentral:rRNA from 1 species
AUGAACGCUGGCGGCGUGCCUAAUACAUGCAAGUCGAGCGAACAGACGAGGAGCUUGCUCCUCUGACGUUAGCGGCGGACGGGUGAGUAACACGUGGAUAACCUACCUAUAAGACUGGGAUAACUUCGGGAAACCGGAGCUAAUACCGGAUAAUAUAUUGAACCGCAUGGUUCAAUAGUGAAAGACGGUUUUGCUGUCACUUAUAGAUGGAUCCGCGCCGCAUUAGCUAGUUGGUAGGGUAACGGCUUACCAAGGCAACGAUGCGUAGCCGACCUGAGAGGGUGAUCGGCCACACUGGAACUGAGACACGGUCCAGACUCCUACGGGAGGCAGCAGUAGGGAAUCUUCCGCAAUGGGCGAAAGCCUGACGGAGCAACGCCGCGUGAGUGAUGUAGGUCUUCGGAUCGUAAAACUCUGUUAUUAGGGAAGAACAAAUGUGUAAGUAACUAUGCACGUCUUGACGGUACCUAAUCAGAAAGCCACGGCUAACUACGUG